CGCGACAUGCGGCCCCCGCGACAUGCAGGCCUCGUUUCACUGCGACCCCCGCGACAUGCGGCCCCCGCGAUAUGCGGCCCAUGUGAUAAGGGACCCUGCGCCGCCGGGACCCCGGUGACACCCGGCCCUCCCCACACGCGUGGCCGGUGCCUCCCGCUGCCCCCGGGCCGGGAGGUGAAGCCCACCCGAAGGGCUGCGCUGCACCAGCAGAGGUUUCAUCCCUUCUGCCCCCUCUGAUGGUGUGGUGGUGCUGGGCUGAGUGCGUGGAAUGUUCGCUCUGGUAGCAGGGAAUGGGGUUUGAAUCCCUCAGGAGCUGCAGCAGCGUGUCCUGGAGCUGUUGCAGGCAGGGAAUAUGUUCGGUAUCUGCGAAGAUGAAGGAAGCCUGAGUGGAGAUCACAGAAUUGUAAAAUAUCCAGAGCUGGAAGGGACUCACAGGGAUCAUCCAGUCCAACUCCUGGCCCUGCACAGGACAAGCCCAAAAUCCCACCCUGGGCCUGAGAGCUCCAAAUGCUCCCUGAACUCUGUCAGGCUCGGUGCUCUGACCACUGCCUGGGGAGCCAUAAAUUUUCAUAUAUUCCCUCCCUGCUUAGUCAGGAACACCCAGCUGUGUUGAAAUCCCAUUCCUUGAAGGAAACAAAACGCCUGCGGUGCAAGUGAAAGCAAAACAGACCUGAACUUCACACAUUCCCCUCCCAGCUGAGAUCACCAGCGUGUCCAGCCAGCUCUUCCUUCCUGCCUUCCCUCUGUGACCUUCCCCAGGUCACCCGAUCCCAACAGCAGAUUUGCCCUCUCUAUGAAACAAGGACAGUACAUUCCACUUGAAAAAUUAAAUAUUUUGGAACCUUA